rnacentral:rRNA from 1 species
UCUCUUACCCAUGUCUUUUGAGUACCUUCGUUUCCUCGGCGGGUUCGCCCGCCGGUUGGACAACACUUAAACCCUUUGUAAUUGAAAUCAGCGUCUGAAAAAACUUUAAUAGUUACAACUUUCAACAACGGAUCUCUUGGUUCUGGCAUCGAUGAAGAACGCAGCGAAAUGCGAUAAGUAGUGUGAAUUGCAGAAUUCAGUGAAUCAUCGAAUCUUUGAACGCACAUUGCGCCCCUUGGUAUUCCAUGGGGCAUGCCUGUUCGAGCGUCAUUUGUACCUUCAAGCUCUGCUUGGUGUUGGGUGUUUGUCUCGCCUCUGCGCGCAGACUCGCCUCAAAGCAAUUGGCAGCCGGCGUAUUGAUUUCGGAGCGCAGUACAUCUCGCGCUUUGCACUCAUAACGACGACGUCCAAAAAGUACAUUUUUUACACUCUUGACCUCGGAUCAGGUAGGGAUACCCGCUGAACUUAAGCAUAUCAAUAAGCGGAGG